GCAGUGAGCUGGCUGGAGUUGUGAAGCAAGUGUGGCAGCAAGCCCUAUGCUGCCGACAGUGAUGUGUUGGGAGGCCGCAGCAAAGUGUGCGUGGAAGAUUCCAGUGGAGGCAGCAGUCUGUGUGGCGGGGCCUUGGGGGGGGUAAAGUCUUGGCCUGGCCACCCUGCCUGUGACCUGUGGCCUCUUGUUGCUUCACCAUGUUAAGAGGGUGGUGCUGUGAAGCUGGUGGCACAGGAGCUGACCAGUGCUGCAGGAAGACAGCACACAGCUUCAGUAUCUUCCAUGAUAGUGUUUAAAUAUACUGUGUUGGUUUGUUUAUUAGCAGUCAGAUUAAUUUGCUUUGCUUAGUCUUCAUUUAUUCUUUAUUUAGUGUUGGCAUAUAUAUAAUUGUUUAAUCUUU